AUGAUUGAGGUGGUUUGCAAUGACCGUCUAGGAAAGAAAGUCCGAGUGAAGUGCAACACCGAUGAUACCAUUGGUGACUUGAAGAAACUGAUAGCGGCUCAAACUGGCACCCGCUGGAAUAAGAUCAUUCUUAAAAAGUGGUACACAAUUUAUAAGGACCACGUGUCUCUGGGAGACUAUGAAAUCCAUGAUGGGAUGAACCUGGAGCUUUAUUACCAGUAG
rnacentral:lncRNA from 1 species